rnacentral:rRNA from 1 species
UACGUAGGGGGCUAGCGUUGUCCGGAAUCAUUGGGCGUAAAGAGCGUGUAGGCGGCCCGGUAAGUCCGCUGUAAAAGUCAAAGGCUCAACCUUUGAAUGUCAGUGGAUACUGCCGGGCUAGAGUCCGGAAGAGGCGAGUGGAACUCCUGGUGUAGCGGUGGAAUGCGCAGAUAUCAGGAAGAACACCACGGCGAAGGCAGCUCGCUGGGACGGUACUGACGCUGAGACGCGAAAGCGUGGGGAGCGAACAGG